rnacentral:rRNA from 1 species
GUCCAUGCCGUAAACGAUGAAAACUAGAUGCUGGUAGGUUAAACUUAUCAGUAUCGAAGCUAACGCGAUAAGUUUUCCGCCUGGGGAGUACGGCCGCAAGGCUAAAACUCAAAGGAAUUGACGGGGGCCCGCACAAGCGGUGGAGCAUGUGGUUUAAUUCGAUGCAACGCGAAGAACCUUACCUACCCUUGACAUCCUGCGAAUUCUUCAGAGAUGAGGAAGUGCCGAAAGGAGCGCAGAGACAGGUGCUGCAUGGCUGUCGU